rnacentral:lncRNA from 10 species
GUACCAAGCAAGAGUCAGCUCGGAGCAAACACCAGGGGACAGGCCCAGUCGCUGGUCCUGGACAAGUAAAACUUUCCCAUCACAACCACCACGCCAGGCGAUUGCUCAGUGUUCCCCAUCUGCGGUGGGCAGGCAGGAGUCGCCCGGCUUCCACACUCGAGUGGCGCUUUGGGGCAGUUGUAGGACACUCUCGGCCUUACAGGGGAUAAAUUACUCAGGCACAUGCAGAGGGCUUAAGAGGUAUCUCCUGCAAAGACUGACCAGACUGAAACUGGGAGCGGCAGAUAAUGGGCCUGUGGAUGAAGUCACAACUACACAAGACAGAGCAGAGAGAAAUAGGAAUGCUGAGGCCAGCCAUGUUGGAGCCACUGGAUCAAGCCUAACCCAAAGACUGCUCUACAUCUGGCAUUUUCCAGUUACAUGCAAUUUCAGUGUUUAAAGCCAGUUUGAUUUUGGCUGUCUGACUCUUGCAUCCAAGAUGAUUAACUGAUAGAAUUAUGCCACUUACCUCAAAGACAUGCAAAUAUGAUAUUUAACUUAAAAGUACAAAGCUUAUAGGUGCUGAUGGGAGGGGUUUUUACUGUCUGCCCUACGCUCACCAUCAUCCUGGAUGCUAAAGAUGUCUGGAGACUCCAAUUCUUCCCAAUUCGAGGCUCUCUCCAACCGUUUCCCAAUCAGACAGGUUCACAACUCCCA